rnacentral:rRNA from 1 species
AUACGGAAGGUGCAAGCGUUGUUCGGAUUGACUGGGCGUAAAGAGCACGUAGGUUGAUGUGUAAGUCGAAUGUGAAAGCCCAGGGCUUAACCUUGGAACUGCAUUCGAAACUACAUUUCUUGAAUACUUGAGAGGUUGGCGGAAUUCCAGGUGUAGGAGUGAAAUCCGUAGAUAUCCGGAGGAACAUCAGAGGCGAAGGCGGCCAACUGGCAAUGUAUUGACACUCAGGUGCGAAAGCGUGGGGAGCAAACAGGAUUAGAAACCCCAGUAGUCC